rnacentral:rRNA from 1 species
CCUACGGGUGGCAGCAGUGAGGAAUAUUGGUCAAUGGACGAGAGUCUGAACCAGCCAAGUAGCGUGAAGGAUGACUGCCCUAUGGGUUGUAAACUUCUUUUAUAUGGGAAUAAAACGUUCCACGUGUGGGAUUUUGUAUGUACCAUAUGAAUAAGGAUCGGCUAACUCCGUGCCAGCAGCCGCGGUAAUACGGAGGAUCCGAGCGUUAUCCGGAUUUAUUGGGUUUAAAGGGAGCGUAGGGGGAUUGGUAAGUCAGUUGUGAAAGUUUGCGGCUCAACCGUAAAAUUGCAGUUGAAACUGGCAGUCUUGAGUACAGUAGAGGUGGGCGGAAUUCGUGGUGUAGCGGUGAAAUGCUUAGAUAUCACGAAGAACUCCGAUUGCGAAGGCAGUUCACUGGACUGCAACUGACACUGAGGCUCGAAAGUGUGGGUAUCAAACAGGAUUAGAUACCCUGGUAGUC